ACUUUUAUAGGAUAACAGAAAUCCAUUGGUCUUAGGAACCAAAAAUCUUGGUGCAACUCCAAAUUAAAGUA
rnacentral:tRNA from 1 species